rnacentral:tRNA from 1 species
AAGGAUUUAAGUUAAAAAAACUGGCAGCCUUCAAAGCUGUAAAUAGGAGAAUAGGCUUCUAAGCCUUA